UGGACUCUAUACUGUAAAUCGCUCUGGAUAAGAGCGUCUGCUAAAUUACUAAAA
rfam:Salmo salar isolate Sally breed double haploid chromosome ssa25, whole genome shotgun sequence.